UAAUAAAAUAAAUCUAAAUGUUGAAAAUCCGGUGUUUCUAUGUCAAAUGGUUUUGUUAUAUUUCAGUCUUCUGGUAUAUAAAGUGUAAUAUUAAGAUGAAAACUCAAAAUGAAAUACAUUUCAACUUUAUAUCUGACAUGAUACAGGUGGAUACUGUUGUUAAGCCCAUACCCAUGUGUGUGAGGUGGAUACUGUUGUUAAGCCCAUACCCAUGUGUGUGAGGUGGAUACUGUUGUUAAGCCCAUAACCAUGUGUGUGAGGUGGAUACUGUUGUUAAACCCAUAACCAUGUGUGUGAGGUGCACGCCCAAUUUUUCAGUUUUUGAUUUGUUAAAAAAGUUUGAAAUAUCCAAUAAAUG
ensembl:lncRNA